AGAAAUGAGGAACGAAAGGCCCAGAUGAGCAUGGGGCAGAUAUAGGAAGAGAGGCAACAUGAGGCAGCACCACCUCUGCUCCACACGUGAUCUGGCCAAGCCCGGGUUCUGCUGCCAAGCCAGAAGCUGUAUGUAAGAUCACAACAAGGAGUGACCCUUGCCUUGGUGAAGCCAACAGCAGUCAUCGCAGGCAGAUCCACCUGUCAGGGACCGGAGACUCUGCACCCCCAUCUCUCCACCCAGAGAUCAGAGUCUGGAGCAGACAGAAGCUCCAUUCCUGUGGUCCUGCCAUGGCUCCCGGGCUGCUCUACUGUGUGACCUUUUGUCUCCUUGGAGCAGGUCCCAUGGGUGCCAUGGUCAUCCAGAGCUCAAGAUACCAGGUUACGAGGGUGGGGAAACCAGUGAAUCUGAGCUGUUCUCAGAAUAUGAAUCAUGACAGCAUGUAUUGGUACCAACAGAAGCUGAACCAAGGCCCAAAGCUGCUCCUCUACUUCUAUAAUACAGACCUUAACAAAGAAGCAGACACCUCUGAUAACUUCCAGGCCAGACGGGCCAACACUUCUUUCUGUUCUCUCAACAUCCUCUCGCCAGGCUUGGGGGACUCAGCAUUGUAUCUCUGUGCCAGCAGUAAAGACCCACAGGGGUACAGCGAGCAGCACUUUGGGCCAGGGACCCGGCUCACGGUACUAGAGAAUCUGGAAAAGGUCAAACCUCCCACGGUCACAGUGUUUGAACCAUCGGAAGCAGAGACCUCCCGAACCCAGAAGGCCACACUCGUGUGCCUGGCCACCGGCUUCUACCCCGACCACGUGGAGCUGAGCUGGUGGGUGAAUGGGAAGGAGGUCCAGAAUGGGGUCAGCACGGACCCUCAGCCCUACAAGGAGCGGCUGGAUGGGAAUGACUCCAGCUACUGUCUGAGCAGCCGGCUGAGGGUGUCCUCUGCCUUCUGGCACAACCCUCGUAACCACUUUCGCUGCCAAGUCCAAUUCCACGGGCUCGGGGACAAUGACGAGUGGCCCAGCGACAAAGGGACCAAACCCGUCACCCAGAUCGUCAGUGCCGAGGCCUGGGGCAGAGCAGACUGUGGCUUCACUUCGGUGUCCUAUCAGCAGGGCAUCCUGUCUGCCACCAUCCUCUAUGAGAUCCUGCUGGGGAAGGCCACUCUGUAUGCUGUGCUGGUCAGUGCCCUGGUGCUGAUGGCCAAGGUCAAGAGAAAGGGUUCCUGAGACCAGCUCAGAAAAUGCACCCUGAAUUGCUCAUCAUCGUCCCUGAGAUUCUCCCUAACGUGCUCCAGUCUGCGUUUCUAGAAGUUAAUCUCUCUCUACCUCUUAUCUCCUUUCUGCUGGGAUAUCUGUCCCUUCUCUCUGCUUUCCUGCAGACUGAGCUCCUCAACCCUGAAACGGAAAUAGACUAAAACAAUAAAAGUGUCCUGCCAGGC